CGACAGGUUACGAAAUCCAAUCACGCAAUUCUCAUCGUGCACAGUUCAAACUUCCAGUCCCGUUCGAUCGAGAUGGCUGCUUCCGGCGACCUGAGCGCCGCCGUGCCGUGCGUGACGCUCAACUCGGGCCACGCCAUGCCGGCGCUGGGCUUCGGCACCGGCUCGUCGAGCCCGCCGGCCGACCUGCCGGCGACGAUCGCGCGCGCCGUGCGCCUCGGCUACCGCCACCUCGACACCGCGGCGAUGUACGGCACGGAGGGCGCCGUCGGCGCGGCCGUCGCCGAGGCCGUCCGGGCCGGCGCCGUCGCCUCGCGCGGCGACCUGUUCGUCACCACCAAGCUGUCGCUGCUCGACGCGCACCCGGGGCGCGUGGUCCCCGCGCUCCGGGAGUCGCUGGCGCGCCUCGGCCUCGACUACGUCGACCUCUUCCUCAUCCACUGGCCGCUGCGCUUGGUCAAGAAGGAGGACGACGCCGGCGCCGGCGUCGUGAGCCGCGUGGUGCCGUUCGACAUGGAGGGCGUGUGGCGCGGCAUGGAGGAGUGCCACCGGCUGGGCCUCGCGAGGUCCAUCGGCGUCAGCAACUUCUCGGCCGCCAAGAUGUCGCGGCUGCUCGUGCUCGCCGCCGUGCCGCCGGCGGUGAACCAGGUGGAGAUGAACGCCGGGUGGCGGCAGGAGAAGGUGCGGGAGGCGUGCGGCGCGAGCGGCGUCGUGGUCACCGCGUACUCGCCGCUGGGCGCGUACGGCGCGAUCUGGGGCUCCGACGCCGUCAUGAAGAGCGGCGUGCUGCACGACGUCGCCGCCAGGACAGGCAAGACCAUUGCUCAGGUGGCGUUAAGGUGGCUGUACGAGCAAGGCGUGUGCUUGGUGGCAAGGAGCUUCAACGAGGAGCGGAUGAAGCAGAACAUGGAGAUCUUCGACUGGGAGCUGAGCGAGGAAGACAAGCAGAUGAUCGCCGGCAUGCCGCAGCGGCGAGCCUGCCGGGGUGAAUACUUCCUCUCGCCGGACGGUCCAUACAAAUCCCUCCAUGACCUCUGGGAUGGCGAGAUAUGAAGAUGACGACGAUGACAUAUAUCUGCUGCUCAAAAUGGGCCUAUGAACCUAGGUGGUUUUAUGAAUUUGUUGCAGCAACCAUAGUUUUUCACCCUCGUCGCAGCUGAAGGGACAAUUUCCAUUUUGUUGGGCUCAAUCAGAACUAUAACCCAACAUCUUCACCACCCCCACCAUGUUACAAUGGACUCCAACAACUCAAGGACCAUCAGCCAACCAAGCUACAUCAUCUAAUAGAAGGGUCAGAAUCAACGUCGACAACGAUGAUGGUGUUGAGGGAUCAAUUAAUGGAUGAGGCACAACAAAUGUAUACAAAACAAUUUGGAAAGCCUUUCUCAUUGGUUCACUGGUGAAGAACUCUCAGAAAUGAACAAAAAUGGUGUGCUUAUAUUGAUAAAUUGGAAAAGGGAAAAAACAAGAGUGCGGCCAUUGAUGUUAUAUAUAGAUGAUAGAGACCAGUCUCGUCCCAUUGGGCAAGAAGCAGCAAAGGCCUAGAGCAAUGGCAAGCGCAAGAAAGAAGAGGUUAUGGAUGGUAUUUUCAUGGUUGGUGAUACAAAGACCAUAUGGUGCAGCGUGAAAAGGUGACACAUGCGCAACUAGAAAUCUCAAGGACAGGUCUCAAAGCUGCAAAGGAACAAAAGGAGGCAAAGCUGCUUGAAGUUUAUAAUUCGCUCCAUAAUCUAGGCCUAUUAACCUGGUGGUUUUAUGAAUUUGUUGACCGUCGCCGCAGCUGCAAGGACAAAAUUUCCAUUUUAUUGGGCUCAAUCAGAACUACAACCCAACAUCUCCACCACCACCUACAAUGUUCCAAAGGGACUCCAACAACUCAAGGACCAUCACCCAACCAAACUACCUCAUCUAACAAAGGGUCAUAAUCAACCUCGACAACGAUGAUGGUGUUGAGACUACUAUAAUCUGAUGAUUAAUUAAUGGAUGAGGCACAAUAGAUGUAUACAAAACAACAUGGAAAGCCUUCUCCUUGGUCCACUGGUGGAGGAUUCUUAGAAAUGAAUCAAAAUGGUGUGCUUAUAUUGAUAAAUUAGAAAAGGAAAAAAAACAAGAGUGCGGCUAUUGAUGUUACAGAUGAUAGAGACCAAUCUCCUCCCAUUGGACAAGAAGCAGCAAAGGCCUAGCGCAAUGGCAAGCACAACAAACAAGAGGUUAUGGAUGGUAUUUUCAUCCUUGGUGAUACAAAGACCAUGUGGUGCAGUGUCAAAAGGUGACACAUGCGCAACUAGAAAUCGCAAGGACAAAUCCCAAAGCUGCAAAGGAGCAAAACGAGGCAAAGCUGCUUGAAGUUUAUAAUUCACUCCAUAAUGUAGUGAGUGAUUAUUUCUUGGAGAGUACUCUUUAUUCUUGCAAAAUUUUUCAUUGAAGAUAUCAUAUGUCAAUACCAUUGUUCUAUGCAUCGUGAAUGCAUUGGACCAACGGCUUGAGUAUUUCGCUACAAAGACGGAAGCUCUUAAUCGUCAAGGGCUUGCUUAGUUACAAAAAUGUAAAUGUACAGUGUCUAUUCGCCAAUUGACUAUGGGAGUGUUGCAGAUCAUCUAGAUUAAUACUUGAAGAUCAGUGAGACCAUUGAAAUGGAGGCAAUGAAUAAUUUUGUCGAAGGGGUUAUUGCUGUUUUUGGUGGACAAUGUUUGAGAUGCCCCACUGUGAAAGAUGUUGAGCUUCUGCUUAUAGUAGGUGAGAGUCGAAACUUUUGUGGUAUGUUUGGGAGCAUGAUUGCAUGUAUUGGCAAUAGGAAAAAUUUCUCAUUGCAUGGAAGGGUCAAUUCAUUCCGGGUGAUGAAAAAGGCUCAACCUUAAUUCUUGAAAUCGUGGCAUCUCACGACCUUUAGAUUUGACAUGCAUUCUUUAGCAUAUAUGGCCCGUCACCGAUGAUGCAUCACUGAAGGACAGUACAUUGUGGCCCGUCAAAGAUGAUAUUCACUCAAAUUUAUUAAUUUUUAUUGGAUUUCAUCAUCCGUGAAAGGCUGUAAUUAUGACCCGUUAUGGAUUUGUUGUUCGUGAUGAGCUGUAAACAUCAUCGGUGAUUGUCAUAUGUAAUCAGUGAUGGGCUGUAAACAUCA